UACGGGAGGCAGCAGUGGGGAAUAUUGCACAAUGGGCGCAAGCCUGAUGCAGCCAUGCCGCGUGUAUGAAGAAGGCCUUCGGGUUGUAAAGUACUUUCAGCGGGGAGGAAGGCGGUGAAGUUAAUAGCUUCACCGAUUGACGUUACCCGCAGAAGAAGCACCGGCUAACUCCGUGCCAGCAGCCGCGGUAAUAUGGAGGGUGCAAGCGUUAAUCGGAAUUACUGGGCGUAAAGCGCACGCAGGCGGUCUGUCAAGUCGGAUGUGAAAUCCCCGGGCUUAACCUGGGAACUGCAUUCGAAACUGGCAGGCUAGAGUCUUGUAGAGGGGGUAGAAUUCCAGGUGUAGCGGUGAAAUGCGUAGAGAUCUGGAGGAAUACCGGUGGCGAAGGCGGCCCCUGGACAAAGACUGACGCUCAGGGUGCGAAAGCGUGGGGAGCAAACGAGGAUUAGAUAACC
rnacentral:rRNA from 1 species